rnacentral:misc_RNA from 1 species
AGAUCUUCUUCAUUGCAUGGUCUCCUUCAACAUCUCGAAUCCGAGCCAAGAUGCUCUAUGCCACAUCUAAAGACAGGUUCAGAAGGGAGCUGGAUGGUAUCCACUAUGAGAUUCAGGCUACUGACUCUACAGAGAUGGAUCUUGAAGUGCUCAGAGACCGUGCAAAUUGAGCUUCCUCUGCAAUUCAGAGGUUUCCACCUCAGGGGAGACAAAUCCGCCAUUGUUUUUCCAACUUCUGAAUUAUGCCUCUUCUAUUAAGCUACUUGCAGAAUCCUUUUCCAAACAAGAUAAACAACAUAUUCCCUAAAUAACUAGCACUGGAAGAGGCUGAUAAGAAGCUCCCGUACUCUUUGCUGCUGAUCAGAUAAGAGAAGUUUGUU